rnacentral:lncRNA from 1 species
CGGUGGUGUGGGGUUUAAGAAAAUAUAAUGAAUUAAUUAUCGAGACGACUAACCUCCCUGCUCGACGUGCAUAAAGCUCGUGUCCCUUCCAAGAGCUUUUUCUUUCUUACGCCAUUUGGCUCGACGAUUUUGGAACCAUACCUACGAAAAAAAGAAACGGAUAUUAUGGUAAUAGAUAAUUUAUUUAAUAAAUUAGUUAACUUUAGAACUAACGAAAGAACAAAUGAAUUUAAUUCGUUUUAUAUUAUACUAAAUAUGAUAUUAGUAUCAUUUAAAACUCGUUUAUUUUAUUAUCUCCUUCCCCUUGUUCUUUUUUUCUUUCUUUUUUUUUUAGCAGAGUUUUUCGUUAAUUCAUUAGCAAGAAUUUUAAAAGGAAUUCGUAGAAAGGCAUUUAAAGGUAUUCUCUCGUAAUUCUCUCAUUAAGAAUAAAAAAAAUAAUAAAAUAAAUAAAGAAAGAAAGAGAGAGAAAGAGAGAUAGAUAGAGCGAUGAAAAAAAAAAGGAAAAAAGAAAUGUCGAUCUUAAGCUCAACUUUAUCCUUUUCUCAUUAAAUCAGGAGGAGAAUUUUUUUUCUAAAUUUAAUACUCUCUCGACAAGUAUAUUUAAUUCUCCUCUCCAUCUCUCUUUCUCUUAGGAAUGAAAAAAAGAAAAGAAUAAAAGAACUGGAAAUAGAAAUUGGAGGUAUUAGUAGUCAAUAGGAGAUACUAGAAUUUGUUCGUACUCGUUAUGUAAUUUUCAACGAUUAAAUCGCAUCCCGAAGCGAGAGAAAGAGUAGAUCUUUCUUUAAUAAGUAGUAAUCUUUUUCUACUUUUUCUCUCUAUUUUUUCAAAAGAAAAAAAUAAAGAAAGAAAAAAAAAAAGAAAUAAAGAAAGAAAGAUAAAACUAAACUGGCAAGAACGUAUGAGAACCUUCGGCCGCGCGUAUCAGAGCACCCAACAAAAGCUCGGCUCUCGAGGUUGAUUAAGCUAAUUGUUAACAAUUAUCCUGAUUUCCUCCGGACCCCCGAGUGGUAGCAGCAACCCCUGCCCUCUCUCUCUCGUUCUCUCUUUCUCUUUCUCUUUGUCCCUCCCGUUGCACCCGUUGCCGUAUAAAUGCUUUCACUUUCCGCUCGAGUUGUUCGGUAGGAUUUUUCGUGGGCAUCGUCAGAGACCCCGGCAGCAAUAGCAGCCAUACUAGCUAAAGCACCAGUACACCAGUACCAGUACCACCAAUGGCACCAACAGAACCACCAACGACAGCAUCGUCGUUCAACCAUCUCUUUCUCUCUUUCUCUUUUUAUACAUGUAUAAGUGUAUAUGUAUGUAUAUCUGGGUGUAUACGUUUUACAUGCUGCAUCCAUUGUGUGCCACGGAAAUUCAAAAUGCUGCCUUUCAGACCGACACUGUUCUACCAACCAGGAUCAAUGGAAAAUAGUUGAAAGCAAAAGUUUGUCAUCGAAGAAAAGAGAAAGUGCUUACCAGGGAGGAAAGGUAGACAAGAGGUAGAGGGUAAGGUCGACAUCAAGAAUCAAGAGAGAAAGAGAGAGAGAGAAAAGGGGGGAUAAGUCGGGAGAGGUCGGGACAGGAAAUUCAAUUGCCUAAUUGCUGUUAAUUAUUUAAUCGCUCCUGAAUACCCUCUAACGCCUAAGUGCUCGCAAACCUUGCAGCGCGUCGUUUAACCGACCCACCGUCAACUCGAAAGUUUAAAUCGCCGGCUCGUCUCGAAAACUUUCACUCUGACGACUACGACAACGACGACGAAAACGACGACGAAAACGACGACGAAAACGACGACGAAAACGACGACGUUACCCUUGUAGCCGGCGGCGGCAACGUGCUACUACUGCUGCUGCUGCUGUUGCUUAAACCAUUACGAAUAAAGUACACAAGAAUAUUUUCAAAUAGAAUCAAAUUCGAAUCUUUUCGACGCUGGCUCGAAAAGCGGGGAAAUUUUUUUAAUGAAAACAACUUCAAAAGUAAUAAAACAAA